UACGUAGGCAGCAAGCGUUGUUCGGAGUUACUGGGCGUAAAGGGUGUGUAGGCGGUUGUUUAAGUUUGGUGUGAAAUCUCCCGGCUCAACUGGGAGGGUGCGCCGAAUACUGAAUAACUUCGAGUGCGGGAGAGGAAAGUGGAAUUCCUGGUGUAGCGGUGAAAUGCGUAGAGACCCGGAGGAACACCAGUGGCGAAGGCGGCUUCCUGGUCUGCGACUGACGCUGUGGCGCGAAAGCUAGGGGAGCAAACGGG
rnacentral:rRNA from 1 species